UGGAACGCUGCAUUCUGAUGGAUAUAUCUUUCCUAUCCUCCUUUGCCUUUUGCUUCUCUUCUUUUCUCACACUAUUCAGCAAUAAAACAGAAUGAAGUUAUACAUGUAACAACAUGGAUAAACAUACAAAACGUGGUAAAUGGGGGCCAAAGCCUUAUACAUUUCUGUAGCAAAGGAAAGCUCUCAAGGAGAGCUGAAACAUGAAGUAGGAUAUAAAACAGAAUGAAAUAAGGAGGAUUUUGGUUUCUGCUUUAUGAUAAGAAUUCUAAAACAUAUUGUCCUAUUGGCGGAAAUAAUGUUGCUGGAGGCAGAGGGGCUAAGUGAGGGGGUGAACCUUGAACAAGUGUGAAUUCUCUGACCCAAGCGGAACAGGUUAGGUCUUGAGAUGGGGCUGCAUGCAUCCUCCUUUCUCACAGGAGGGAAGAAGAGAAAGAUGGUGCAGAGGCAGGAGGGUUUACACCAUCAGAAGGGAGUACAGGUCUGAUCACCUCAGUAUGGCUUUUUCUUCAUUCACCUCACUUGGUGCAUUGGACCUUUCAAACUGAAUGGUUGUAGGUUUGUUUGUUUGUUUCAGAGCAGUUUAGGUUUACAAUAGAAUUGAGGAAUGUACAGAGAUUUCUCAUAUAUUCAUUGCCCACACAUGUGUAUAGCCUCCUCCAUUAUCAACACCAUUCACCAGAAUAGCAUAUGUUUUUACCAAGAAUGAUCUACACUGACACAUCAUAAUCACCCAAUGUCUACAGUUUCCCUCAGGAUUCCCUAUUGGUGCUGUAUAUUCUAUGGGUUUGGACAAAUGUGUAUCUAUCCAUAUAUCCAUCACUUAAUAUAUGUAGAAUAUUCCCACUACUCUAAAAAUCCUCUGUUCUCUGCCUGUUCAUCUCUCCCCUGACUGAGUCCCCUACUGCUACCCCUAGCAACCACUGAUAUUUUUGUUGUGUCCACAGCUUUGCCUUUCCCACGAUAUCAUAUAGUGGGGAUCAGGCAGUAUGCGGCCUUUUCAGAUUGGCUUCUUUCACUUAAUAAUAUGAUUUAAGGUUUCUCCAUGUCCUUUCAUGUCUUGAUAGGUCGUUUCUUUUCAGAACUGAAUAAAUUUCCAUUGUCUGGAUGUAUCAGUUUAUUUAUCCAUUCACCUACGGAAAGGACAUACUGCUUGCUGCAGCAAUGAAUGAGUUCCUGUUGGCUCAUAUCCUCACCAGCACUGGGUAUUGUCAGUCUUCUAGAUGUUGGACAUUCCAAUUCUCUAAUUGCUCCUUUACUAUAAUAUUACUUUUGUUUCAUGAAUGCAAUAGUCUCUAAUUUCUCUGAUUACAAUAAACAUUCAACAGCUUCCUUCUA